ACGCUGAGGAGCGAAAGGGUGGGGAGCAAACAGGCUUAGAUACCCUGGUAGUCCACCCCGUAAACGUUGGGAACUAGUUGUGGGGGCCUUUCCACGGUCUCCGUGACGCAGCUAACGCAUUAAGUUCCCCGCCUGGGGAGUACGGCCGCAAGGCUAAAACUCAAAGGAAUUGACGGGGACCCGCACAAGCGGCGGAGCAUGCGGAUUAAUUCGAUGCAACGCGAAGAACCUUACCAAGGCUUGACAUACACCGGAAACGUCCAGAGAUGGUCGCCCCUUUUUGGUCGGUGUACAGGUGGUGCAUGGUUGUCGUCAGCUCGUGUCGUGAGAUGUUGGGUUAAGUCCCGCAACGAGCGCAACCCUCGUUCUAUGUUGCCAGCACGUUAUGGUGGGAACUCAUGGGAUACUGCCGGGGUCAACUCGGAGGAAGGUGGGGAUGACGUCAAAUCAUCAUGCCCCUUAUGUCUUGGGCUUCACGCAUGCUACAAUGGCCGGUACAAUGGGCUGCGAUACCGUGAGGUGGAGCGAAUCCCAAAAAGCCGGUCCCAGUUCGGAUCGUAGUCUGCAACUCGACUACGUGAAGUCGGAGUCGCUAGUAAUCGCAGAUCAGCAACGCUGCGGUGAAUACGUUCCCGGGUCUUGUACACAC
rnacentral:rRNA from 1 species